GGAGUUUUGGGAGUGUUGUGCUCCCGUGGCUGCUGUCCGCAACCGUCUCACGCCAUCUCCCGAAAUCCUCGGACAUCUUUGCCUUCCCGCUCUAUCAGCUCUGUCUUCGCCGCUGUCUCUCGCCGUCGCUUGCGGCGCCCGGGCCUUUGGACUCUGUGGUUCUUGGCGACAGGACAGCUCUCCCUUGGAUGGCCAGAGCCUCUUCUCUCCUGCAGGACCCUGGUGACACUCCUGCCUGAUGGGCCAAAAAGUUCACUUGGUUUUUCAGGCAACUUCAUAAUUCCAUCUUCUCAAACUUAACUGUUCCAGGUGCCUUUUGCAGUCUUCCAGGGAACUGAAAUUUUUUCUGUUAAGAGAAUGUUGUAAAGAAUGAAAUAAAUGGCAAUCCGAGGGUGUGACGACUCGGCUCCACCUUAGCUGUGUGACCUCGGGAGUGUCAUGUGACUGCUGUUCCAUGUAUGUGAGGGGUGUCCUUGGGGAGAGCCUGGAUUUUGCAGUUCCAGAUGGGUCUGCGGGUGCAGAGGUGCCGUGGAGGACGUCGGUCAUCUUCAUGUCCGUCUGCAUCAGCUGGGCGCUGGACCAUGGGGCCCUGAGAUGUGCUCUGUAGGAGGCAGAAACCUGCGACGCUGCCUUCACUUGACUAAGAUGCAACGUGGUGCCCCUAAGAGGCAUGUCUUGGCUGAGGUGAAGUUGGAGGUCAGCCUUAGAUCGGAGACUGUUGAAGAAAGUCCCGAGGCCAUGAAUCAGUGACCCUCAGUGUGACUUGGGACCUGGGUUUCCUUUCAUUUCUCUCCAAGAUUCUCUUGGUGGUCGCUGUGGACACCAGAGGGGCAGAGAACUGAGAGGGAGGUUCCCACACGAAGCCUCACCACAGCGCCCCCCACUGCCUGCUCGGCGCAUCACCCAACGGCUGUUCACUCUGCACAGGAGAUCAGAGGGAAAGCUUGGGGUCCACCUCAACUGGCUCUGCCCCUAGACAGCAGUACUCUUUGAAGGCCCGCCCUGUGUCCCUCUGUCCUGCCUGGUGUGACUUUAAUAA